rnacentral:rRNA from 1 species
ACACAUGCAAGCCGAGGGGCAGCAUCAUUAAAGCUUGCUUUGAUGGAUGGCGACCGGCGCACGGGUGAGUAACACGUAUCCAACCUGCCGACAACACUGGGAUAGCCUUUCGAAAGAAAGAUUAAUACCGGAUGGCAUAGUCUUCCCGCAUGGGAUGACUAUUAAAGAAUUUCGGUUGUCGAUGGGGAUGCGUUCCAUUAGGCAGUUGGCGGGGUAACGGCCCACCAAACCAACGAUGGAUAGGGGUUCUGAGAGGAAGGUCCCCCACAUUGGAACUGAGACACGGUCCAAACUCCUACGGGAGGCAGCAGUGAGGAAUAUUGGUCAAUGGACGAGAGUCUGAACCAGCCAAGUAGCGUGAAGGAUGACUGCCCUAUGGGUUGUAAACUUCUUUUAUACGGGAAUAAAGUGAGCCACGUGUGGCUUUUUGUAUGUACCGUAUGAAUAAGGAUCGGCUAACUCCGUGCCAGCAGCCGCGGUAAUACGGAGGAUCCGAGCGUUAUCCGGAUUUAUUGGGUUUAAAGGGAGCGUAGGCGGGUUGUUAAGUCAGUUGUGAAAGUUUGCGGCUCAACCGUAAAAUUGCAGUUGAUACUGGCGACCUUGAGUGCAACAGAGGUAGGCGGAAUUCGUGGUGUAGCGGUGAAAUGCUUAGAUAUCACGAAGAACUCCGAUUGCGAAGGCAGCUUACUGGAUUGUAACUGACGCUGAUGCUCGAAAGUGUGGGUAUCAAACAGGAUUAGAUACCCUGGUAGUCCACACAGUAAACGAUGAAUACCCGCUGUUGGCGAUAUACGGUCAGCGGCCAAGCGAAAGCAUUAAGUAUUCCACCUGGGGAGUACGCCGGCAACGGUGAAACUCAAAGGAAUUGACGGGGGCCCGCACAAGCGGA